rnacentral:rRNA from 1 species
GUCGAAGGUGAAGCGGGGCUUCGGCCCCGUGGAAACUGGCGCACGGGUGAGUAACGCGUGGGAAUCUACCCCGGGGUGGGGAAUAACCGCUGGAAACGGCGGCUAAUACCGCAUACGCCUUGCGAGGGAAAGCUUUAGCGCCCUGGGACGAGCCCGCGUCGGAUUAGCUUGUUGGUGAGGUAACGGCUCACCAAGGCUUCGAUCCGUAGCUGGUCUGAGAGGAUGAUCAGCCACACUGGGACUGAGACACGGCCCAGACUCCUACGGGAGGCAGCAGUGGGGAAUAUUGGACAAUGGGGGCAACCCUGAUCCAGCCAUGCCGCGUGCGUGAAGAAGGCCUUAGGGUUGUAAAGCGCUUUCGGCGGGGAAGAUGAUGACGGUACCCGCAGAAGAAGCUCCGGCUAACUCCGUGCCAGCAGCCGCGGUAAUACGGAGGGGGCUAGCGUUGUUCGGAAUUACUGGGCGUAAAGGGCGCGUAGGCGGAUUGUCAAGUCAGAGGUGAAAGCCCUGGGCUCAACCUGGGAACUGCCUUUGAAACUAACGGUCUAGAGUCCGAGAGAGGAUGGCGGAAUUCCCAGUGUAGAGGUGAAAUUCGUAGAUAUUGGGAAGAACA